AAUACCAUAUUUUAUAGUUUCCCAAUUUUGAACCACUGUUGCCUCUGUGUCUCUCGUUCUCUUCCUUCCUCGCCUCGCCUGAGACCCAAACCACGAAUUCCACCUCAGCCACCUUCCACUAAUCUUCGCCGAGAUUCGUGGAAGACCAGACCUCCGGUCAGGGAUCGACGAAGGAGUUCGUCUAAUCUACGGCAUGAUUAAUUUUCUAAGUUUAAUAUUUAAAAGGGGUUUAUUUUUUUUUCUACAUUAGCUUUUUUUUGUUGGUGGUGAUUAUGGCUUUCUUCAAUGAUCGGCCUAAGAAGAAGAAGCAGCUCCCACCAGUAAUUGUAUCGUAUUUGCAAAUUUUUCCAAGAUUAUCAUAGACACCGGCAAACUUGAUAUCACAGCUGCCAAAGCUUACUGUGAUAGCUUACUAAAGACCCUGCAAACUAGAGACCUAUUUGAGUGGAUUGAACUUGAACCAUUGCAGUUAUGGCAUUCCUUGCUUUUUAUGGAUUAGCAUAAUUAUGGUGGAAUCCCUACAAAAGCUGAUGAAGACAUGCAUGAAGAGUGUGAAGUUGAUAUUGUGUCAAGCUGGAAUAUUGUUGAAAAUUCACCAAAGAAAAUUCAGGUAAUUUGUCAAAUUUUUUUAUAAACUUGCAAUUGCUGUAAUGAGUAACAUUUUAAUCUCUGCUCAGUGGUUGGAGGAGUGUGCAUGUACACAGUUUGGUGAUAAGUGAAGAUUCAAUUUAUUAUGGCCCGAAAUCUGACAAAAAUAAUCUUUUUCAGCAUUAUUUUAUUUUCAUUGUUUCUUGUUAGUACUCUCUCUCUCUGUUUUUUACUUUUUUUCUUUGUUUAUUGUUUAUAUGGCUGGAGAAGAAAUAUACGACUCUUAUUGUUUAUUGUUUAUUGUUAUUCUUGAGGUUUCACAACCUCUCUCUAUUUCAAAGAUAGCAUGCUUUUUUUUCUUCUACCCCUUUGAUGUAAUACUAUGUUCUGUUUCUUGAAAAUAAAAUAAAAAAAGAAAAAAAAUUCAUGUGACAAAAUCGUGGUUAAGAACAUUGAAUAUUAGUGCUCCUGCUUUUUGUGCCAUUCUCUUCGUCCUCAUAUCAGUUUUUUCCGCAAAAACUUUCCUAACAUUUUGAGUGUCCUCCUUGGGCAAUUUUUGAUAUGGUCCAGCUGCUCUGAGUCGUGUUAUUUGAUUUUGCUCAUGUUAUUGUGGAACUGGUUUUGCUUUAAUUUAUGUAUCAGUAUUAGGUUCUAGGUGUGGUUGGGUCACCUCAUCAUUUUAUUGUGGAUCCAGUUCCAUUUAAUUUAUUUAUCAGUAUUUUUUGAACUGAUUUUUUCUUAUGUUUUAAUUAAGAACCGGUUUUUGAAUUAUUGUGUGUUAUUUUUUUUUACUUUUUUUUUUGUUGUGUAACCGGUUCUACUUUAUUUUAUGUCUCUGUAUUUUUAUUUUUGAACUAAUUCUCUCUUAUUUUUAAAUUAUAACCGGUGUUUGAGAUUGUGUAUUAUUUGUUUUUAGUUACUAUUUUUUUUUUUUGGAACUAAGCCUAUUUUAAUUUAUCUCAUCUAUUUUUUUAUUUAGUCAA